CUGUAGUCAGCAAGCUGUUCUCCCUCCCCAAGCUGAAAACAUUCACCUUUCCAAUGCUGUUAAAGAUCAUUCAGUUCAUCUGUCCAGAAAGCACUUGGCAAGCUUUGUGCCCACUGCAGCAGGACCAUAAGGGAAGUAUUUCCAUGAAGUUCUGGGAAAAAUGAGCCCACAUGCCUAGCCUUACCACAAGCUUACAACUUAUAGAUCACAUUCCAGGUACUGAUAUACAAACUCCAUCUACAAAGAGAUAACUAAAGCCAGCUGAGGUCCUCAGGUGGAAGGAAGUUAUCAAUGAGAAAGGUUUUAUGCGUAUAAGUGAGAGAAAAAAAAUCACAUUGGAAUCUGAGCACUUACAUCACAG